UACGGAGGAGGCAAGCGUUAUCCGGAAUUAUUGGGCGUAAAGCGUCCGUAGGUGGUUGGCCAAGUCUGCUGUCAAAGGGUGGGGCUUAACCUCAUAAAGGCAGUGGAAACUGGCGAGCUAGAGUGCGGUAGGGGUAGGGGGAAUUCCCAGUGUAGCGGUGAAAUGCGUAGAGAUUGGGAAGAACAUCGGUGGCGAAAGAGCCCUGCGGGGCCUGCACUGACCAUGAGGGACGAAAGCUAGGGGAGCGAAAGGG
rnacentral:rRNA from 1 species